rnacentral:rRNA from 1 species
AUUGAACGCUGGCGGCAUGCUUUACACAUGCAAGUCGAACGGCAGCGCGGGCUUCGGCCUGGCGGCGAGUGGCGAACGGGUGAGUAAUGCAUCGGAACGUGCCCAGUAGUGGGGGAUAGCCCGGCGAAAGCCGGAUUAAUACCGCAUACGACCUGAGGGUGAAAGCGGGGGACCGAAAGGCCUCGCGCUAUUGGAGCGGCCGAUGUCGGAUUAGCUAGUUGGUGGGGUAAAGGCUUACCAAGGCGACGAUCCGUAGCUGGUCUGAGAGGACGACCAGCCACACUGGGACUGAGACACGGCCCAGACUCCUACGGGAGGCAGCAGUGGGGAACUUUGGACAAUGGGGGCAACCCUGAUCCAGCCAUGCCGCGUGCGGGAAGAAGGCCUUCGGGUUGUAAACCGCUUUUGUUCGGGAAGAAAUCCUCUGGGCUAAUACCCCGGGGGGAUGACGGUACCGGAAGAAUAAGCACCGGCUAACUACGUG